rnacentral:lncRNA from 1 species
CUCCGGACUGAUCAAAAUCAGGCCCGCACCUGUGCUCGACAUGUUGGAGGAUCCAUCCACAUAGAGGGCCCAAAAGCAAUCAGGGGGGUCUAUUUCUUCUUCAGAGGAGUUCAGUCGGGACUUCAGGUCGUCCGCUUCUCCUUGUUUAGGUUCGGCCUCCUGCGAGAUAGUGCAUUCUACAUAAAAUCUGCCUGUAUCUGGGUUUUUACUGUCGGCCUAGGUUGAUAGUUGAUGUCGAAUUCUGUGAGCUCGAUCACCCAUUUUGCUAUCCUCACAGAAGCAUCCGCCCGGUGUAGAACCGCCUUAAUCGGCUGGUCGGUGAGCAACGUUACGAUGU